rnacentral:lncRNA from 13 species
AAUGCGAUGACACACGGAGCAUCUCGCGCCUGUUCUCUAUUCGAUCUCCAAUCUCAUCAAGGAAAUAACAACCAAUGUUGCAAGACAUAUACAUAUAUUUUACAAUAACGAUCAGAGUUGGGAACGAAUACAUAAGCAUGUAGAUACAGUAACUAGAUACUUGUAGUUGGACACUGAUUACAACACUGAUAACAACAAUCGCUUGUGUAUGUAUGUACAAUGGCACGCUGCACAAAACGGGAAAAAAAACAGACGCCGAGCAUUAAAUAAACAGCCAAACUGCAUUGUUGGGAAAUAUAUAAACAUGGAUGAAAUAUAUGAAAUAAUAUACGUCGAGUGUACCUUGUUCCAUUAGUCGUGUUAUUAAAUGCAAGGUGUUACGCAGAGUGUAUUCGAAUACAAGCGAUGUUAAACGAGCGAUUAUCACACAUUAAUAUCGCUGUAUAAUAAGAAACAAUUUACAGCCCCCUUUCUCCUGGAGCAACAAACCAACGACGCGAGAUACCUGCGACGAUCGACAAAUAGCCAACAUCUCAAUACAUUCAUAUACGUCGUCAAUCAUGGGAUUUAAAUAAUCACAUAAGCUGCAGUCGCUAAUACGGAAUAAUCACGCAUUCGAUCUCUUGACUCGGGUCGCGUCUCGAGGCGUGAUAUGACGGUUGUAUGUACGCAGCAUCUUGCGUCACUGUCUAUCAAGAAUCGCGUCGGGUAAAUAAUAAUAAGAUAAUACCAUGCGCGCUAUGUAAAAUAAAAAUCACAUCGCGUGUAUGUUUACCUUUGCCAAAUUGUGUGUCAUCUAAGUCUAACGUGCGUGAAAUUUUCUGCACAAUUUUUAAAUUCUCCGUCUGCUACUUAAAAUCGUUUACUGUGACAGUAUACGGGAUAUCGCGAGUACUGAACGAAUCGUUGCUUGGCGCGAUCGUACUUAAUCUUCUGUUGUGCAAUAAACACACGAUUAUCGUCGGGAAUGUAAGUGUCGUAUGAUUAUUUUGCGUGCGUCGCGAGUGUAUGUACUGAGUUAAUGAAACGAAAGGACCCGAGAGAAAGAGAAGGGACCUAGGAGCAUCGGGGCAAGGAAAGGACCUGAGAGGAGGAGACCUAGGAACAUCAGGCGACAUCGCAAUUGUAGGACGCCGUGGUGGAAGGGUCCGGGUCCAGACCGCAUCUCGUCGAGGGACAAACCGCGACGGAGCCGAGACAGCUCGUGACCAAAACAGACGUGGACCAAGGAUGACGGGGAGGGAGCUAACAGUUGCAAAAUCCAACGGUCAAGGAGAAGAUAUAAUUACAAGUUGCGUUUUCAUGAAAUUCCCGAGACGAUGGCGGUAUUGACCAAUAAGAGGCAGCAUAACCAUCACGGAGGACCGGAUCGAUAUUCAAGAAUCAGCCACGUGAUAUCACAUAAUUAGCAUUAACAUCCCGGAUCGACGCUUUGAGCGACAACGGCGUGCCCGCGGGUAGCCGCGCGCGCGUGCACGUUUCCGUAGGAUGCAAUUAUUCGACGCCUCUUGCAGAAGCGAGCGCAUGAAUUAUUCGGCGAAUAAGCUCGAGGCUCGUUAACUCGCGAAACGGAACGGAGACCAUCGACAAUCACGAUGUCAAAGCAGGGGGCAGGUGCCGGCGGUGCGACGCGUACGACUUCCGGCGCGCCGCUCGCACUCGCGCGGCACCGCGCUUAUGCACUUGUUGCACAAUCUGCCUAACGAUCUCUCGAGCUCGCGAGCACAGAUUAAUAAUCACGACCCGUAGUCCCGAGUCCUUACGAGAGACGCGCGCGCACGGUCCGGCGCGGAAUCCUAUUUAAAAAUAAUUGCGUUACCCACUCGCUCGCCCGGUAGUUUCCUGUGCUUGAUUACGGCUAAUUGUUCGGGAUUUACAAGUAUAAUGGCGCGUUUAAUGCGGCGACUUACGUGACGGCCCUGAGACCGACUGUGUGUCGCCCCGCAGACAACUGCGCGAUUCUCAGUGCGAGCGAAAAAAAUUAUCUCCCUUCCUUCCCGUGGCGACGCGUCCACGAGUUUCCCUCCACGGGACUGUGACGAAACGAUCGUCGGACGAGCGCGACUGACUUUAGAAUUGCAAAGUAGUAUAAUUAUGCGAGAAGGAAUUGACUUGACUGCAGCCGUGUGAGAAGAGCACAUCGGAAAUAAAAUUAUGUAUCGGCGAAGAGAAGAAUAAGCGUUUUGUUUUUAAAGUGCUUCCGGGAUGUUCACCUGCUUGUGGUACUGCGACAUUUUUGGCAAUGGCGAGAAUAAUGAUAAUUAUAUAAUCUCGAAUCGAGAGAUCGUUUGUUUUCCGCAUAUGCGAUAUUUAUUUGAUACUAAUUAUUUUUCUUAAAUUUCCU